rnacentral:rRNA from 1 species
UCAAGAAACUUCCACAAUGGGCGAAAGCCUGAUGGAGCGACGUCGCGUGAUGGACGAAGUGCUUCGGCACGUAAACAUCUUUUUAUGUGGGAUGAAAUUAUUGACAGUACCACAUGAAUAAGGGGCUCCUAACUCUGUGCCAGCAGGAGCGGUAAUACAGAGGCCCCAAGCGUUAUCCGGAAUCACUGGGCGUAAAGGGUGUCGAGGCGGUUGUAUUAGUCGUUCGUAAAAUCUACGAGCUUAACUUGUAGGCGGCGAACGAAACGGUACGACUUGAGGUUUGGAGAGGUGCGUGGAACUCACGGUGUAGGGGUGAAAUCCGUUGAUAUCGUGGGGAACACCAAAGGCGAAGGCAGCGCACUGGCCAAAAUCUGACGCUCACACACGAAAGCUAGGGUAGCGAAGAGGAUUAGAUACCCCUGUAGUCCCUGAGCGGGCUGGCAAGGCGCAU